rnacentral:rRNA from 1 species
UUGUUUGAUCCCUGGCUCAGGAUGAACGCUGGCGGCGUGCCUAAUACAUGCAAGUCGAGCGAAUGGAUUAAGAGCUUGCUCUUAUGAAGUUAGCGGCGGACGGGUGAGUAACACGUGGGUAACCUGCCCAUAAGACUGGGAUAACUCCGGGAAACCGGGGCUAAUACCGGAUAACAUUUUGAACCGCAUGGUUCGAAAUUGAAAGGCGGCUUCGGCUGUCACUUAUGGAUGGACCCGCGUCGCAUUAGCUAGUUGGUGAGGUAACGGCUCACCAAGGCAACGAUGCGUAGCCGACCUGAGAGGGUGAUCGGCCACACUGGGACUGAGACACGGCCCAGACUCCUACGGGAGGCAGCAGUAGGGAAUCUUCCGCAAUGGACGAAAGUCUGACGGAGCAACGCCGCGUGAGUGAUGAAGGCUUUCGGGUCGUAAAACUCUGUUGUUAGGGAAGAACAAGUGCUAGUUGAAUAAGCUGGCACCUUGACGGUACCUAACCAGAAAGCCACGGCUAACUACGUGCCAGCAGCCGCGGUAAUACGUAGGUGGCAAGCGUUAUCCGGAAUUAUUGGGCGUAAAGCGCGCGCAGGUGGUUUCUUAAGUCUGAUGUGAAAGCCCACGGCUCAACCGUGGAGGGUCAUUGGAAACUGGGAGACUUGAGUGCAGAAGAGGAAAGUGGAAUUCCAUGUGUAGCGGUGAAAUGCGUAGAGAUAUGGAGGAACACCAGUGGCGAAGGCGACUUUCUGGUCUGUAACU